GCCUGGCUAGCUCAGUCGGUAGAGCAUGAGACUCUUAAUCUCAGGGUUGUGGGUUAGAGCCCCACGCCGGGCG
rnacentral:tRNA from 1 species